UAACAACCUGGAAACAAGAUGCUAAUACCGGAUAACAACAGAUGAUGCCUAUCAACUGUUUAAAAGAUGGUUCUGCUAUCACUCUUGGAUGGACCUGCGGUGCAUUAGCUAGUUGGUAGGGUAACGGCCUACCAAGGCGAUGAUGCAUAGCCGAGUUGAGAGACUGAUCGGCCACAUUGGGACUGAGACACGGCCCAAACUCCUACGGGAGGCAGCAGGU
rnacentral:rRNA from 1 species